rnacentral:rRNA from 1 species
AAACUUUCAACAACGGAUCUCUUGGUUCUGGCAUCGAUGAAGAACGCAGCGAAAUGCGAUAAGUAAUGUGAAUUGCAGAAUUCAGUGAAUCAUCGAAUCUUUGAACGCACAUUGCGCCCGCCAGUAUUCUGGCGGGCAUGCCUGUCUGAGCGUCAUUUCAACCCUCAUGCCCCUAGGGCGUGGUGUUGGGGAUCGGCCAAAGCCCGCGAGGGACGGCCGGCCCCUAAAUCUAGUGGCGGACCCGUCGUGGCCUCCUCU